CAUUAGAUAACUAAAUUUAAGUAUUGGUCUCUUAAACCACUAAUAGUAAUUUCUAAAUACUUCUAAUGA
rnacentral:tRNA from 1 species